GUGAUCAUUAUUUUAUCAUUUCCUUUGAUAAGGAUGGAAGAGGGUCCAGCCUGCAACACAUAUAUAGUUAAGGCAUUGCUACCUACUUUAUCACAUCUAACCUUUUGC
rnacentral:ncRNA from 1 species